UACGUAGGGGGCAAGCGUUGUCCGGAAUCAUUGGGCGUAAAGAGCGUGUAGGCGGUCCGGUAAGUCGGCUGUGAAAGUCCAGGGCUCAACCCUGGGAUGCCGGUCGAUACUGCCGGACUAGAGUUCGGAAGAGGCGAGUGGAAUUCCCGGUGUAGCGGUGAAAUGCGCAGAUAUCGGGAGGAACACCAAUGGCGAAGGCAGCUCGCUGGGACGUUACGUGACGCUGAGACGCGAAAGCGUGGGGAGCAAACAGGG
rnacentral:rRNA from 1 species